rnacentral:rRNA from 1 species
AUGCGCCGCCGCCGGGAAGCCCACCGUAUCUGGCCUCCCCUGGUGCACCCCCUCCUCCACGGCGCAGUCGGUCCGUAUCCCACGUUGCGGGAGCCGCAGCGAGCCACGGGAGCCAGGAGCGGCAGUGCUAAGUGGGUGGGGCCGGCAGCGGCAGGCGGCGGCACUAGAUCCGAGGAACGCCACGGGAGGCACGUCAGGCAGGGACAACCAUGGCCGGUGGAGUCGAGCGGCGGUCAGUGA